rnacentral:rRNA from 1 species
UACGGGGGGGGCAAGCGUUGUUCGGAAUUACUGGGCGUAAAGGGCUCGUAGGCGGCCAACUAAGUCGGAUGUGAAAUCCCCAGGCUUAACCUGGGAACUGCAUCCGAUACUGGAUGGCUUGAAUCCGGGAGAGGGAUGCAGAAUUCCAGGUGUAGCGGUGAAAUGCGUAGAUAUCUGGAGGAAUACCGGUGGCGAAGGCGGCAUCCUGGACCGGCAUUGACGCUGAGUGAGCGAAAGCCAGGGAGCAAACGGG